rnacentral:rRNA from 1 species
AAAGCCCAGCGCUGAAUCCUGUAGCCACUGGCUAUUGGGACCUGUAGCGUAUAGGUGCAACUUUUCGGCAGUUUUGCUCACCCAAAGUCCCCUUGAGUGGGGCCACAGUCCAUAGAAGGUGCUAGACCUGUACGGGUGGUGAGGCUGUCGAUACGGUUGCUCCUUGGAGUCGAGUUGCCUGGGAUCGCAGCUCAAAGUAGGUGGUAAACCUCAUCUAAGGCUAAAUACGGCCACGAGACCGAUAGCAAACAAGUACCGUGAGGGAAAGUUGCAAAGAACUUUGAAGAGAGAGUUCAAGAGGGCGUGAAACCGCUGAGAAGGAAACGGAUAGAGUUGACGAAACUCGAUGGCAUUCAGCCGAUACGGUGCCGAUGCCCGUGUGAUUGUAUACACUUCGUCAAGGGGUGCGAUUGCAUUGGUUGCGUCGGAACUGCGAUCGGUGUAUUUGCCGUCGGUAUGCGCUGAGAAGUUCGUUGCGGUGCGCUGACACCGACCAAAGAGGACCGUGCCCGUCUGGGUGUGGAAACUUUUGGUGGUUGAGGCGUAUUCGUGGUGAAUUUGUUGUAUGCGUUGCCCCGCUAGGGCGCGACGGUUGCUGCGUGGCUGGUGUGGCUGUUGAGCGGUCGCGUGCGACUUGCUUAUAGUCUAUGCUGGCUCGUUGGUGACGCAGUUGCGUUGGGCUAAUGCAUCUCGGUGUGAAAGUCGACCACCUAUCCGACCCGUCUUGAAACACGGACCAAGGAGUCUAGCAUAUGCGCGAGUCAUUGGGUGGUAAACCUAAAGGCGCAAUGAAAGUAAAGAUCGCUUUAAUGCGGUUGAUAUGGGAUCCGUAUAGUUUCGGCUGUGCGGCGCACCAUAGCCCCGUCCCCGUUGCUUGCAAUAGGGCGGAGGUAGAGCGCAUACGCUGGGACCCGAAAGAUGGUGAACUAUGCCUGAGCAGGAUGAAGCCAGAGGAAACUCUGGUGGAGGUCCGAAGCGGUUCUGACGUGCAAAUCGAUCGUCUGA